ACGUGGCUGCGGCAGCGGCAGAGCAGAGAUCUGCGCCGCAGGCUCUGAGCUCCCCAGGCCGGCAGGAGCCUGCCGGGGCCGGCGCUCGGCACCGUCCUGUGCGCGGAGCUCUGCCUCGGCCUCCGCUCUGCGCCCCCCGCGUGUGCCAGGGGUGAGCUCUGGGCAGCGAUCUGUGGAACAGAAAACCUCACAGCAGGCAGAGUGUGAUGCAGAAGCUCUGUUUAUUGCAUACCAGAUGUGAGGGGAGAGCUUCCCAAGCUCGCACAGCUGCUCCUGCACAGGUUUGCUCAUCUGGCACCAGCUGCAGGUCACCUUCCUGGCCAAAGUUACCAAUGUCCUCACUUCUGAACACAGGAUUCUUCUUCCCAUGGGAGAGCUCCUGUGUCUCUGCCUGCUUGCAUCACUUUGCUUUGCUUGUGCCUGAUUUAUGAUGCUUUAUAUGCUUCAUGGUUACCUAAGUGACUACAUUCCACAUCUUCUAUCCCCUUUGGCAUCAGCAGUCAGAACAGGCAAGGAAGUGUUGUGGGGAAAAUGUGAAGUUUUUGUCUGCAAAGGUAACUCCCAAGUGAGCUUUUGCUGCUGUGUGGCAAAGGUUGUGCCCUGUGAAUGGGGGGAGUGAGAGGGGGAAUGCAGCUGGGGUAGGAAAUGGAGCUGCUGUUGAGAGCACAUAGUGGAAGUGAGCAACUGCAUAGUGUGUGUCAUGGAAAGCAGUACCUAGGGAGGA